GCGUCGGUAGUACAACGGUUAGCAUACGCUCCCGGAAAGAGUGAGAUCUGGGUUCGAAUCCCUGCUGAUGCA